AGUUCAGAAGAGGAAGCAAACUUUUACGCCAGGAUCUCGUAGUAGCGUGGCUGGUCUCGUCCCAAAGCUAAAAUACAAGGCCGGUGUUUUAUCGAUGUGAAGAGAGCGAGAGACCACACCACAGUGCAGUGUUCAACCGCUUUGGAGCAUCGAGUGGGAGCUUUACGUGCGGGGAGUGAACGAGGCGGAAGCUCUUCGAUUCCCUCACUUCCCUCCCUUUUGUUCUCUCGCCUCUUUCGAACCCUAGAAAAUAACUGAGGAUCCUCUUUUCCACUUCUGCUCCCAACUUUGUGAAUCUUCAUGCUUCGGAGGAUGCGCGUCUGCUCUAUUCUGGGCCCGUUUCGACCCUGAAUUGACGUCGUAUUGCGGUUGCCACAGCUUUUCAGGUUGUCUGAGGACGCCAGCAUUGGAUGGGUUCGCCAACGAGGAGGCUCCUUGCUGUGCCUUCUGUGCUGGAUAAAAUCUAGGUCGUUAGUCGGGUUAGAGAAGCUUCGUGGCUUACAUUGGAAUUGACGUUUUUGCUCGAUUAGGAUUCGAAACUCUUGGAUGUGGAGCUUCUUCGGUUUAAGCUCGUUCUUCAAGUUUAGCUGUUGGUAAUUUUUUGGUUGCAACUACUGUUAUGAUUGGCGAGCCCUAGUGCUUGUGAGGUAAAAAUAAUCUUGUUGGCUUCUGAGCGAGUUGGACUUGACUAUCCGCUGCUUGUCUGUUAUUGGUGAACAUAGUCUUGGCCUGCAGAGUGAGCUUCUGUGGAGCGGCUGGAGUGAGCAGAGAAAUUAAGGACUGGAAGAGAGAUGAAGUGGACAUGAGUAGGUUGUCAAUCCGGCCCCGUCCUCUUGACAUUCAUAAGAAGCUUCCCGUCAUAAAAUCUGCUAAGGAAUUUGAGGAUGAUGAAGCACUCACUAUCGCCCCUUCCACUCGAAACUCACCAUUGCAUCGUGCUGCUAAUGAGAAUGACAGUGAGACAAUUCCAACUCCUGGCAAGAAGAUUUCACAAGAAAUUCCUACUCCACAAUUCAACAUUGUGGAUACAUAUGAAAUAGAUUAUUCUCGCACGUUUGCACAGACCGCCUCUUAUAUACGUGGAAGAGGAGCUAGGGCUGAGAUUUGUGAAUCUGUUGAGUAUGACCUUGAUAAUGAGGAUGAGGAUUGGCUUGAAGAGAUUAACCGGGAGAGGAAGAUUCUUUCAUCAGAAAAGUCACUUGUGAAUUGCACAUUGCUGUUCUAACUACAGAAUCAAAUUUAUAUGAUGGUCUGUUUCCAUUCUUUGGGUUGAGACCCUUCUCUUCAAACUGGAGAUUUUGGAUCAUAAAGCCAGAGAAAGAGCAGGGAUUAUAACACCCACGUUUAGUUCUCCUGUUCCUGUUUAUUUGCAGCUUGAUGCUGCAGCUGAGGCUUUUAAUUCUCCAUCUGUGCAGCCUGCAGUUUUGCAAUUACUAUAUAAUUAUUGGAAAGAAAAGCGAGAAAGGUGGCAAAAACCUAUUCUACGCAGGUUGCAGCCUCCUCCCCCAAUUAAUGAUACAAAUCCGUACAAUGUGUUCAGACCCAGGGAAAAGGCACAUCGUCUUCACCCAAGAAGAGUAAGUCUGAUACCAAGGUGCAUACUUUAGUGGAUGUUUACUUUCAAACGUGUCAAGAGGAUUGACACAUCAUUUAAAUUGGCUAUUAUUUUCUUGAACUAAUGAAUUCUUUCUUUCUCAGAUGCAGAGGAGGGAAAAUAAUGUCCAAUCCUUUGAAAAACUGCAUCAAGUAAAUCUGUUAGCUCAUCUAAAGUGUACCUUUCAAUCAUUUUCUACAAUUAAGGCAUGACUAGUGAUAUCUAUCCAGUCUUGCAUGCCAUCCUAAUGCUCCUAAAUAGCCUUUUGAUUUGAAUACUCAUUUCACCCAACCUUAAGCCACACAUUUUUGUUUUGUAAGCCAUGCUCUUUGCAAUCCAUAAUGCAUAUUUGAGGUUCCUUAAAAAUGCACGUGAGUGAAGCAACACUAGUAAUCCCUCCUAGAUAUGAGUCAGAUUUUGUAUAUACUUCUGCAACAUAAAUUCAUGGAAGACAUUAUGAAUUCAUUUACAGAAUGUGGAAAUGCAGGCCAGCAGGCCACUAGAUAAACCGUCUCAAGAAACUCUUUCAACAAAUAAAUCUAAGAGUCAACUUUUCUGAGAUUGAAUUUCCCUAAUCGCUUGAAUUCUAAUGCAUGGUUUCUUUGAUCUGUAAAAUUCUUCUGGCAACUUUGGGCAACUAAUAAUCUCUAUCCAAGCAUCUGCACUAACUCUGGGUAGUUUGAACUGAUUGAGGACCUAACAUUUCCAUUAAUUUCAUCCCAAAGCAUAAGAGGUCAGCAAGCUAUCCUCUAUUAUGUCUCCAAUAGUGUCAUCUGAAUUGGUGAGUGAUAAAUUAUUAUUAUAUACAAACUCCACUAAAUACAACAACUUCUUCCACCACCACCAAAAUCCACAAGAAUAGGUUCUCAAUCGUCUGAAUAAUGUCUUCUAGUUGACUGAUUUCUAUGGGUUGAAGGCAAUACUGAAUCUAGGAUUUGUACCAAAACCUAUAGCCAACUAUUCAAAAAAUGAAAUGGAUGAACUGCAUGUGAAAAUGAUAAGGGAAAUAUUGUAGGGUUUGAUGACCUCUCAAUAGAAAGUCUUUACUAGUUGAUCAGUGGAUCAAUUUUGCUGAUGAGAAAAGAUGAGUCAGCUUGGUCUGGCGAUCGACCACAACUCAAGUUGAAUUAUACCCUUUUUCUGGGUAAUUCAUCCAUCUCUUACGAUCUGACUAAUCUUGGAGGUUAGCCCCACGGAAGUUUACCACUGGCCACCAUUGUAAAUCGGGAAGCACUGAUGAGAGUCUUGGCGAACAACCCAGCAUUGUAAGUUUUUCAAACCCCCCAGGUGUAAUGUGUUCCGGGUGAGAUUCGAACACUUGUUGCCUUGGAGCCUGUCCCACCUCUUACUAUCGCACCAAAGCCUCAAGGGCGAUUGUAUCCUUUUUUUUAUUAGUAAAGUGCAUCAUGUUAUGCUGACACAUUAGGCAUCACUCUAUAAAAUUAGCAAUCUCCCUCAUGUUAUGCCUCAACAUGAUCCAUUGAGAUUGUUUGCAUCUACUGUUUAAGUGCACACUAUUAAAUGUGAACGAGAUGCUUACAUCAUAAGUCCAUCCUUAACAAGGUGAAACUCCUGAAUACCCAACUUGGCUUUGAACCUUAAAAUAUCGUAAACAUUAUGAGAGAUUCUAGUUUUGAACCUUGGCAUACCCUUUAGCAAUUAUCUAGAAGUAGUUGUUCUCUAUCUAGCAUCCUCUCGUUGAGACUAAGCCAUAAAUAAAGUCAACAUGUUGAAUAGAGUUUGCUCAACCUCAACUAAAUCCAGUUCGAAAACUAAUGAGCUGACUUAGUGACUACUACUUUGAUGUGUGCUACCAUUCAUCUUGAUAUCCUACUCAGUCUACAAUGAUAUUUUCCAAAUGGUAGCUAAUGGGCAGUUGUAGUCCUCCGAGAGCUCAAUUCCCUUCUCUAAUUCAUUAUUAACUUUUCUAAGUGAUGAUAGACUUUAACCUUUUCUGGUCAGUGAACUUCAAGGUGAAUUUGAGAUAUUGACCGUAGAUCUUUUAUAGCAAGGUCAAUGAUCGCAAACCCUAGAUUACGAAUAGAGUAUUCUACUCAUUACUUCUUGAGUUGGCUAGAAGCAUAGGCAGUUCACUCUCAUGCUACAUCACUUUACCUUCAACCCUUUGAUUGACAUAUUCAUGCAAAGGAUGAAAGCACUUGCUCUUGGGACUUACUCUUGCAUGCCACACAUAAAUUAUGAUAAUAACCAUAUAUGUUUAUUUUAUAUUUGUUGCCUCAUCCCAAGCCAAUCCGCAUGAGAAGCAAAGUUAGGAUGAGGAAAAAUAAUUCCCUCCCACAACCCAUCCUGUCCUGCCCCCACCACAUUGGCAUCCCAACUUCAUCAUCCAUCUAUACUGGAAUCAAUCACUAGAUCACCACUAGCAUUGGGUCUAUCCACGAUGACUAAUUAAAUGAAAUUACUCUUGUGACCAACCUAUACUAGUUGACUUGCUUAACUUGACCAAUUUACCAAGCUCUAACUAGUUCGACCUUAAUUUGAACACAUUAGUUUCAAUUUAAACCUGGCUUGAGCUCAAAAUCCACCUAACCUAGAUUAACCCAAAUCUAACUCAUUACACACGCCAACCACAAUACACUUUAAGAUCUCAAAUUAGUAAAAAUUUCAUAUUAUACAUAAGAUUAAAUUAAAUAAAAAUAUAGGUAUAGUGUACCAUGCUAGGGAAUGUGAAUAACAAUUACCAUUUUAAAUUCGUACCUAAUCUACCAAUGAUAUGAGAUCCCUAAGGACUUAAGUCAAGAGUCCAUGUAAUAAACGAGCAGCAUAAUCAUGAGUGAACUAUGUUGUGUUUAGCUAAGUUAAAUUCAGCAAGGGCUUUCUUCAAUUUACUAAGCAUAUUGUUCUUUUAUAUGUAUACAUACAUAAGGGAGAUGACAGUAAAAGUUUGUUUACACCACAAAAUUUUACUAACUAGGAUAUGCAAUGUAACUAUUGAAACAUGAUAAUUUGGGUAAUACACCAAGACAUGUUAAUUGAUAUAUGUAUAAUGUAUGUAUUGGUAACAUUAAUAUAAACACACUGGAAUAGCACCAAAUUUAGUAGAUAGAUAUGAAGGAAAGCUACUAUGACAUGAUGGUCAAAUCAAUUUGUUAGGGAUGAAUUAGACAUCUGUCAAACUUCAUCAAUUUUAAUGGUUCGCUGAGGUUGAGAAAAGACAGCAAUUGAAAAGUUUUCCUUUAUUAUGUUUUAUUUUUUUUACCACUAAUCAUUGUACUUUUUGUUCUCUAUGAUUGUAGUGAUCAUACAUUGGAUCUAUUCAUCCAUGGUAACCAAUUUUAUCACCUGCAAGAUAUCUUUGCAAAAUUCAAAAGCCUAGCAUUUUAUUUGUGGCUUGUGCACUAUAGAUUAAUAAUAGUUAUUAAUUAGGCCCAUAUACUCAUAGUUAUCAGAACCAGACCUAAAAUUGAAUCGGAAAAGUUUUGGUCACUGGUUCACUGUGGUCCAUUGGCCUAAUUGCAUUGGACAAGUUUUAGGUGGCUGGUUCACUAGACCAAGUGGCUUAAUUGGUUUAAUUGAAUAUCGAACAAGAAAUCAAUUGUCAACCUAACUAAUAUAAAAUAUCUUAUUUCUAGAAUAAAAUAAAUAUUGACAGAAACACUAAAAAUGUAACUAUAUCUAUAUAAAAAAGAUCAUGACUAACAAUUAGAUAUAAAAAUUCAAGUAUUGAUACUGGUGAAGACAACUUGAUAGAGGAAUCGCUAGUACGAUCCUCACUACUCAGCAUAAACGACUGUGCAAAAGAGGUUGAGGGAAUAACAGAGAAUGUCAUGUUGGGUUUAAAAAUUAAGGUUUUGGGGCUACUAACAAAUUGGGCUGCGUUUGAUCAAACUAGUGGACUGAACUAGUUUUUGACUGGUUUGAUUGCUUGUCUAAUCCAAUUAACCAAGCAGAACGAAUAUGGACUGGGCCCAGGUUUUUCUAGUCAGACUGGCUGAUCUUGUUUGUCUGGGUUUAAUAACAUUGCUUUUAAUGAUUGAACCCCUUUUCAAAUUUUCAACAGUGACAGCAUAAAAGGAUUAAAUCUAGUAGUAGUUGUAAGCUAUGUUAUUCAGAUUCAAAUAUGAGUGUGGACGCAAGUGUUCAAUAUGGGAAUUUUUAUAAAUUUUUAUGUGAUCAAUAGGAACGUAAGGUGUUUCUUGGAGUGCUGGUCUCCAGCUGAGUGUUGAACAUGGGUUUGGAGGGGACAGAUGGAGUCCCCUAUAUAGGUUAUAGGUGAAAAAUCACUGUCCAAUACCGUGUAGCUAACUCAUCUGUGGCACUGCUGUUGACUAUUUACUAAUAAGGCAAGAAAAGGUGGUUCAGUCUAUUUUUUAAUGUUAUUGCCCUUUCAAAUUUAUUUCUUCAGGUUAGACGUAGCUUGAACCAUGCUAAGAGAGUAGUGGGAGCUCUGAUUCAGAGGGAAGAGAAGAAGCAUGAUCUCAUUGAGUGCGAAAUCAACCUUCAACGUCUCCAGCUGAAAUACAAGCAUGAGGCAAAGCUUAUUGAAGAACGAAUAAUGUUGUCAGUCUUGCAACAAGGUUCAUGCAAGUUUGCAUCAAGUGGAGAUGAUUAUAGUUAUUCAGAUGAUACAGAGAAUGACAACCCACAUGCUGGUCCUGCCUAUUUCCAUUGUAAAAAAGUGGACUCCAAGCAUUUAAUGGUCCCCAGUGCCCAAAUAAAGCCGGAGUUAAAGAUAAGACAUGUAUCAAACAGAUGGCUGCAGAUGCAGGAUCAUGAUGAACCUAUGUUGUUGUUCACUAGGCCUCUGGAUCCAACCAGGCUUGCAGCUGUAGGCAUAAAGCUUCCGCCUUGUCCUCCUUCAGAGGAUGGCUUGAUUGUACCAGCUUUUCGCUUCCACAGCAGGGUUGGACGUGGAGGACGGGUUAUUUUUGACCGUUGCAAUCCCAUUUUACGAACUCCUCUUCCUAAGAGCUAUUGAUGACUAUAACUUCUCGUAUACCAAAUCCGAAGGUCCUAAGCUAGUGUCAUUUCACUUUGGUUGCAUGAUGUAUUGUGAAAAUCAAGGGGUUAUGAUCAAUUAAUCAAGAUUAGUCCGUAGAAGGGUCUUAAAUCAUGUCAUCUCGAGCUUGCUGGUUAGAAUGGUCAUUUGAGCCAGCAAGUACAGAAGAUUCUUCACGAAGUGAGGUAGUGUUGUACACGUUAAGUUCGUUGAUCAUUUUUCAUUGGGUGUUAGUGAUACUCUUGUUGCUCAUGUAUGAUUGUUUCGGGCACAGGUGAGCCUGUUAGGCAAGUGUAAGUCUAAAUAUUUGCUCAUUCAGUGUCUGAAUAUUCAAUUUGGUUGUUAGUAGACUUGACCAUGAGUCAGGUCCGGUUCGGAUCUGGCCUGAAUAUGUACUCGGGUUAACGGGUAACCACGAGCUGGUUACAAAUCUAGCUCAUUUUUAACUAGUUCAAA